UAAUGNAAAAAUUUAGUUAAGUUAUAACAUUAGUUUGUCAU
rnacentral:tRNA from 1 species